CGCACAGCGAAGUAAUUCGAGUGUGUGCGUCGGGUAGUCAUCGCAAAAAACUUUGUUGCCUCCGGGGGAGAGGUGGGCGCCGGCGCCGGGAACAGAUCAAAAUAAAAUAGGGAGCGCUCCCUAAGUAAAUACACCGAUGACAGCUCCGAAUGGCGGGACGCAAACACGUAGAACUUUAUGCUGAUUAAACUUUUACGGGUUCACUCCCGGAGUUACACCCGCUGCGCCUCCAAAUUCGGCCGGGGCGGCACCGACGUAUUACGCGCUUUUUAUUUCCGCGAACAUGUGAGGGUGAGGCUGUGUAUGUGUGUGUAUCUACAUUUUUCAACCACUCCUCCAGCGUGCGUCGCGGAUUCGGGGUUUUUCCGACUUUUGAUCCUCUCCACCAGAGCCUCCCGUAAUAUUUUUGUUCGUCCUUUGUUCAGUUUUUCUUCUCUCUCUUUUUCAUUUAAAUUAUUUUCGAGAAGGAAAUAUCCCUAUUCCAAAGGAACGGAUUAUGAAAGAUGUGUGGAAAAUGAGCGUCGCGUGUUUUACACGAUUUAUGAGUAUGAUCCCAUCCUUGAUUCCAGUAACAUGGGCAUGGAAAAUUGGGUUCAAAUUGCAAAUGAUGUACAGACGAGUUACGAGAGCUUCGAUGGGUUCGUUAUUCUACACGGCACGGGACACACUAUCAUACACUGCGUCUGCCUUAUCAUUCAUGCUGGAAAACCUUGGCAAACCUGUCAUUGUAACUGGAUCUCAGAUGCCCAUUUUUGAGCUAAGAAGUGACGGGAGCGAAAUUUCGCCUCGGCAGUUCUUUUAGCUGGCAAUUACGAUAUUCCUGAAGUUACCGAGUUCUUUCAUAAUCGGCUUUACCGCGGUAACCGAACCUUGAAAACCAGCACGGGUAGCUUCGAUGCGUUCCCUUUUUGCGCAGUUGUUGCGGCGUUCAUAAAAA
rnacentral:lncRNA from 1 species